UGGGAUGAAGCUGAGCUGCCCUGCCCCAGGGAAUUCCCAUUCCCUGUCCAAGAGCAUGGAUAGAGUUGGAAUAGCAGGAUAGCUGUCCCAUCCCUGUCCCAGCUUUGUCCCCAAAUCCCAGAAAUCAGAUGGAGAGCACCCAGCCAAGAUCUUCCCCACAUCCUCAUCCAUUUCCCAGCUUUGCCCCAAAUCCCAGAAAAUGGAUGGAGAGGGACCCAGCCAAGCAUUUCCCCACAUCCUCAUCCCUUUCCCAGUUUUGUCCCCAAUUCCCAGGGAAGAGACUGAGAGAGAACCAGCCAAGCAUUUCCCCACAUCCUCAUCCAUUUCCUGGCUUUGUCCACAAAUUGCCCCAAAUCCCAGCAAAUGGAUGGAGAAGGACCCAGCCAAGAUCUUCCCCACAUCCUCAUCCAUUUCCUGGCUUUGUCCCCAAAUCCCAGCAAAUGGAUGGAGAGGGACCCAGCCAAGCAUUUCCCCACAUCCUCAUCCUUUUCCUGGCUUUGCCCCAAAUCCCAGAAAAUGGAUGGAGAAGGACCCAGCCAAGCAUUUCCCCACAUCCUCAUCCUUUUCCUGGCUUUUUCCCCAGAUCCCAGGAAUUAGGGUGAGAGGGAUCCAGCCAAGCAUUUCCCACAUCCUCAUCCCUCUCCUGCUCUCUUGCAGCCACGGAGCCGGAGCCAAAGGAAUUGGGACCAUCCUGGCUCCCCCAGAGCUCAGGGAUCCUUUGGAAUCACUCCCAGCCCUGAUCCCGGCUCUGGAUCCCNACCCGAGUUCUGCUUCCAAAAGAAUCAGGAAUUAUGGAGAGGAAAAUCCAUGGGAUUCCUAAUGGAUGAUGGCAAAACAAAAGUUUAGGGGCUCGUAUCCUUCAGUGCUCCCAGAGCUGGGGGAGAGAUUUAUUGUUGAGGACGGAACACCAGGAGGAACGCAGAAUUUAUAAACCACAAAGAGACUCGGCAUAAACCAGAGGUGCCCAAUUUGAUAUAACAUAAUUAAAAAUAUGGAUAUGAAGUUGCCCAAUUUGAUAUAACAUAAUUAAAAAUAUGGAUAUGGAAGUAUGGUUUAGGAUAAUCAAAGGGAAAAAAUAUUAAUCAGUAGAAGAUAGAAUGGUAAUUAAUGACUUGAAUUUAUAAACCGCAAAGAGACUUUGCAUAAACCAGAGGUGCCCAGUGUGGGAAAACAUAAUUUAAAAUAUGGAUAUGAAAGUAUGGAUUAUUUAGGAUAAUUAAAAAGGGGCAAAUUACUUCAGUGCUCCCAGAGCUGGGGGAGGGAUUUAUUGUUGAGGACGGAACACCAGGAGGAACGCGGAAUUUAUAAACCACAAAGAGACUCAGCAUAAACCAGAGGUGCCCAAUGUGGGAAAACAUAAUUAAAAAUAUGGAUAUGAAGUUGCCCAAUUUGAUAUAACAUAAUUAAAAAUAUGGAUAUGAAAGUAUGGAUUAUUUAGGAUAAUUAAAAAGGGACAAAUUAUUAAUCAGUAGAAGACAGAAUGGUAAUUAAUGACUUGAAUUUAUAAACCGCAAAGAGACUCUGCAUAAACCAGAAGUGCCCAGUUUGGGAAAACAUAAUUAAAAGGCUGAAAAUAGGGAUUAAUUAGGAUAUUUUAAAAGGGACAAAUUAUUAAUCAGUAGAAGAUAGAAUGGCAAUUAAUGACUUGAAUUUAUAAACCACAAAGAGACUCUGCAAAAGCCAGAGGUGCCCAAUUUGAUAUAACAUAAUUAAAAAUAUGGAUAUGAAAGUAUGGAUUAUUUAGGAUAAUUAAAAAGGGACAAAUUAUUAAUCAGUAGAAGAGAGAAUGGUAAUUAAUGACUUGAAAUUAUAAACCACAA
ensembl:lncRNA